rnacentral:rRNA from 1 species
AGGACGAACGCUGGCGGCGUGCUUAACACAUGCAAGUGGAGCGACGAACCAGGGCUUGCCCUGGGGCAGAGCCGCGAACGGGUGAGUAACACGUGGGUUACCUGCCUUGAUGGCCGGGACAACCCGAGGAAACUCGGGCUAAUACCGGAUGUGCCCGCAAGGGGAAAGGAAGCUUCGGCCUCCGCAUCAAGAUGGGCCCGCGGCCCAUUAGCUAGUUGGUGAGGUAACGGCUCACCAAGGCUUCGAUGGGUAGCUGGUCUGAGAGGACGAUCAGCCACACUGGGACUGAGACACGGCCCAGACUCCUACGGGAGGCAGCAGUGGGGAAUCUUGCGCAAUGCGCGAAAGCGUGACGCAGCAACGCCGCGUGGGGGAAGAAGGCUUUCGGGUUGUAAACCCCUUUCAGUUGGGACGAAGCUUCUCCGGUGAAUAGCCGGACGGAGUGACGGUACCUUCACAAGAAGCACCGGCUAACUACGUGCCAGCAGCCGC